GACGAACGCUGGCGGCGUGCUUAACACAUGCAAGUCGUACGACAGCAUUCCUUUUGGGGGUGUUUGGAGUGGCGAACGGGUGAGUAACACGUGAGUAACCUGCCCUCUUCUUUGGGAUAACGUGCGGAAACGUGCGCUAAUACUGAAUAUUCUUAUUCUGCUGCAUAGUGGGGUGGGGAAAGGGCUGUGGGGUCUUUAGGGGCUUUGUGGUUUGGUGGGGGAUGGGCUCGCGGCCUAUCAGCUUUGUUGGUGGGGUGAUGGCCUACCAAGGCGU
rnacentral:rRNA from 1 species